UGCAUCUUUUUUAGUUGGUCUCGUCGCAUCUAAUAGAAAACAUACAACUUGAUACAUUCUGUCGGAUGCAUAUCUUUUUUUCCUGGAAGUCGAACACUCAGAGCAAUGAUGGUAAACCAGGGGGCAUUUAUUUUUUUAGUUACAGAUUUGCUCAGCAGUCUUGGUGACGUAUGAUAUUUCCUUGGGGGCAAAUUCAGAUAUUUUGCCUCUUUUUCAGAUAGCUAAAGAUGGUUUUGCUGGCCCCUUGUUUCUUGAAGAUAAUCUCUUUUGCGCUGUGGAAUAUUUGGAAAUAGAUGAAUGCUUGGAUUUUUUAAGGGAAGCAAGCAUCUUUAUCCGGAUGGCUCUGGUCACAUAGAGUUAAAACCAAAGUCCACUCUAAGUGCUUGGAUCUCCUCUACGUCUUGAGCUUUUGAUCCUUAGACUUUAAUUUUUCUUUUUCUUUUAGGGGUAUCCUCUACCUCUAUGUAAUCAUGUAGCUUUGUACAUUACUCCCCUUUUUCCUCGCUCUAUUAAUGAAAAUUACAUAGUAGGGGGUUCCCCUACUGUUUGCCCAUCUUUUUUUUAAGAAACAUCGCUGAAAAGUCUUAUUUUUUAUUUCAUUUAAUUUCCUUAGUCAUGUGUUGAAAUGUUGGGAGAUUAAAGUUUAUGCUCUAUUCACACACCGUGGAGGCAACCAUGGCAGUCAUAGAGGGGGCUUCUAGAUAAAGUAAGACACUAAUUGUAUAUAUAACCAGGUUUUGUAUACAAUGCAUGAUGAGUAUUCUAUGUUGCACAUUCAUA
rnacentral:lncRNA from 1 species